rnacentral:lncRNA from 1 species
AAAAAUCACAAUACUUUAAAGUUACAGAAUCUAAUUCUGCAUCAUUUUCCUCAUUCACUGCCUUCAUCUCCAUCCUCACCAACCACAUUACCAGCAUCAACACCUUCACCAACCUCAGCAGCAUCACCAUCCUCAUCAACCUCUCCAACAACAUCAUCAAUAGAACCGCUAUCAGUUUGUAAUACUUGCACUGAAAAUGAGACUUGCCAGAAGAGAGGUGGUGUCUAUGGCUGUGGUUGCUUGCAAGGACAAACACCAAAUCCUGAAAUCUUUGAUGCUGUGGAAUCUUGUGCCAGCAGCACUGGCUUCAUAUCUCUAUCCCGCUGCCAGCUCUUUCAAUCUGGUUUUCGUCCUGAGUACCUGCACCUAAAUGACCCGAGCUGCAAAGGAACCCUGGAGAAUGGCA